ACUUCGCGCGAUAUUUUUCAUCUACAGAUAAGAUUAGAGACAGCCCUAGAAAAUUUCCCCAUUCUAUCCUCUUCUCCACGCACCGCCGCCGCCCUCCUCCCACUUCCUCACAAUUGUCGCCGCCCUCCUGUGCCGCCAGCCUCCCUCUCCUUCGACCUCCAGAUCCAGCUGCGGCCGCUGGCCACCGGAUCCAUCCACGACCGUGCGCAACCAGAUCCAAUCGCGCCGGUCGCCUAGUUCCCAUCUACGUCAGCGAGCUCCACCCAGCUCCCUUCUCCGAAAUCCACCGCCCAACUCCUCUCCCUUUUGUCCAAAAUCAGUGUUUCAGCUUCCGUAUUAUCUUUUUGUGAGGAAGUUUUCUAUUGCUAUUGAUAUAUCAUUACAUAUGCAGAUACGUGAAAUCACUCAGGAGGUAGCAGCAGCAGUUUCAUUUUGGUGUGUUUUGUAGGCCUCGUCAGAAAAGCAACGAAUAAUCUUAUAAAGCUGGUGCAGAUGAUGUGUUCGCAAAAAGACCGCUAAAUGUGAAGAAUGUCAAUAGCUUACUGGUACUACUCUAGAACAUAAUUCCUGGCUAACAUGUAUUUGUGUUGUAUUUCUUAUGCUAGUCCUAUUUUGGUCUCUAUCAUGUUAGGGUUCUUUGUUAGUAUUUAACUGUGAUGGAGGAGAUGCUUCAUCGUCUUAUUAAGGUGUCACUAUUUUGUAAUUGUACCAUUCUCUUCAGGCCGGAGACAUCAUGAUGACAUAUGGUGGAAUGUCCAAGAAACCUGAGAAGGUUUCUUUCUAAUUCAUCUUUCAUUAUAUCCUGCUUAUUGCUACAUAUAGUUAUUGAAAUGCAAUUAUUUGAAUUUCUUCAUAAGAAAGAAUGUGUGUUUAUAUAAAAGAUAGCGUGCUUUCUUUUUAUCCUUACAUAUUGCCAUCUUUUUGAAUAAGAAACUGUUCCUGAAUUUGGCUCUAAAGAGUAUUGCAUAUACUACACAUGGCUUGUUAUUUCACUGUUAAAAAACUUUUGCUGCCAAACAGGCUCUAAACUGCAUUGUUUUUAUAUAUACAUGGCUUCUGCUAUGUAGUUAUAUAUACAGAACAUCUGAAAUGUCUUCGCGCAAUGAAGUUUUCUGGAUGAUCAUGCUGUGAGAGUAAGUUUGUAAAUUUUAUAUAAUGCUGGUCCUUAAAAGCUAUAUACAAAUUUAUAUAGUUAAUCUGUUGGUGCAGCCUGGUAAGGUAAACUAUGAUAACGAUACAAGCUCAUUGCAAAAAGAAGGUUUCUAAGUUGGAAAAUAAGUUUGUAUUUUUAAUUACUCUUACAACACUCCAGAAAAAGGAUAGUUGCAUCAAGUACUCUGUAGAUAGUGAUGCUUUUUCAUGUUUACAAGUGCAAGGGUUGUACAUUAUUGACAAUUUCUUUUUGUAAAUAUCUUGUGUUGUUUCAUUUUGAAAGAUGUUCUCACAUGGUCUCAUUUACGUGCACAUGACUUUGUAGGGGAACACAUAUCCAUCCCAUGUUAGCUUGGAUGCUGCUGCUAUGGAUGAUCUCUUCGGUCAUGGUAACAUUUAGGUAGAACAAUGGUGAGAGAAAUUGUGCUUCCGGAGGAGGAUCUCUUUAGUGUACCCGUACUUCAACUAAUUAUUGACACUCCUAUGUUAUGUUGGAUCUCUUGUUGGAUUCAGUGUUAGUGUAAUUUGAUGGAUGGCAAAUAAUGAAUAUAUGUACCUGCACUUGGGCAAGUCUGUAUAUGCCAAUUAUCAUUUGUUGGAACA